GAUGAACGCUGGCGGCGUGCCUAAUACAUGCAAGUCGAGCGAACAGACGAGGAGCUUGCUCCUCUGACGUUAGCGGCGGACGGGUGAGUAACACGUGGAUAACCUACCUAUAAGACUGGGAUAACUUCGGGAAACCGGAGCUAAUACCGGAUAAUAUGUUGAACCGCAUGGUUCAACAGUGAAAGACGGUUUUGCUGUCACUUAUAGAUGGAUCCGCGCCGCAUUAGCUAGUUGGUAAGGUAACGGCUUACCAAGGCAACGAUGCGUAGCCGACCUGAGAGGGUGAUCGGCCACACUGGAACUGAGACACGGUCCAGACUCCUACGGGAGGCAGCAGUAGGGAAUCUUCCGCAAUGGGCGAAAGCCUGACGGAGCAACGCCGCGUGAGUGAAGAAGGUCUUCGGAUCGUAAAACUCUGUUAUUAGGGAAGAACAAAUGUGUAAGUAACUAUGCACGUCUUGACGGUACCUAAUCAGAAAGCCACGGCUAACUACGUG
rnacentral:rRNA from 1 species